CCUACGGGAGGCAGCAGUGGGGAAUAUUGGGCAAUGGAGGCAACUCUGACCCAGCAACGCCGCGUGAAUGAUGACGGUCUUCGGAUUGUAAAGUUCUGUGAUGGGGGAUGAACACAAUGACGGUACCCCAAUAGCAAGCCACGGCUAACUACGUGCCAGCAGCCGCGGUAAUACGUAGGUGGCAAGCGUUAUCUGGAAUGAAUGGGCGUAAAGGGUGCGUUGGGGGUUUAGUAAGUUGGCGGUGUAAUUCCGGGGCUCAACCUCGGCGCUACCGCCAAAACUACUAGACUAGAGUGCAGGAGGGGGAAGUGGAAUUCCUGGUGUAGCGGUGGAAUGCGUAGAUAUCAGGAGGAACACCAGGGGCGAAGGCGACGUACUGGACUGUAACUGACGCUGAGGCACGAAAGCGUGGGGAGCGAACAGGAUUAGAUACCCCUGUAGUC
rnacentral:rRNA from 1 species